UACGGGGGGGGCAAGCGUUGUUCGGAAUUACUGGGCGUAAAGGGCUCGUAGGCGGCCAACUAAGUCGGAUGUGAAAUCCCCAGGCUUAACCUGGGAACUGCAUCCGAUACUGGAUGGCUUGAAUCCGGGAGAGGGAUGCAGAAUUCCAGGUGUAGCGGUGAAAUGCGUAGAUAUCUGGAGGAAUACCGGUGGCGAAGGCGGCAUCCUGGACCGGCAUUGACGCUGAUGAGCGAAAGCCAGGGGGAGCAAACGGG
rnacentral:rRNA from 1 species